rnacentral:rRNA from 1 species
GACGAACCGUGCGAACGUUGUUCGGAUUCACUGGGCUUAAAGGGCGCGUAGGCGGGUUCUCAAGUCCGGGGUGAAAUCCUCUCGCUCAACGAGAGAAUAGCCUUGGAUACUGGGGACCUCGAGGGAGGUAGGGGCAUGUGGAACUUCCGGUGGAGCGGUGAAAUGCGUAGAUAUCGGAAGGAACGCCGGUGGCGAAAGCGACGUGCUGGACCUUUUCUGACGCUGAGGCGCGAAAGCCAGGGGAGCAAACGGG